ensembl:snoRNA
AGGAGGACUGAGAAGGUUUGGUAGUUCUACAAAAUGAAUACUGCCUAAACUGGUUAAAGCCUCCCAAAUGAGAAGAACUGACACAGCAGUCAGCUGCGCUCAUCUUUU